rnacentral:SRP_RNA from 1 species
GCCAGGCAUGGUGGUGCAUGCCUGUAAUCCCAGCUACUCGGAGGCUGAGGCAGGAGAAUCAUCUGAACCCAGGAGGUGGAGGUUGCAGUAAGCCAAGGUUGUGCCACUGCACUCUGGCCUGGGUGACAGAGUGAGACUCUGUCUCAA